rnacentral:tRNA from 1 species
GGCGCGGAUGGGUCGGCGGCCGAGUUCGUCGUCGCUCCGGCCGACGUGCUCGCGAAGGCCCCGUCGAGCAUCGACCUCGCCGAUGCCGCGGCGC